CUUCGCAUGGACGAAGUCUGACGGAGCAACGCCGCGUGAGUGAUGAAGGUUUUCGGAUCGUAAAGCUCUGUUGUUAGGGAAGAACAAGUACCGUUCGAAUAGGGCGGUACCUUGACGGUACCUAACCAGAAAGCCACGGCUAACUACGUGCCAGCAGCCGCGGUAAUACGUAGGUGGCAAGCGUUGUCCGGAAUUAUUGGGCGUAAAGGGCUCGCAGGCGGUUUCUUAAGUCUGAUGUGAAAGCCCCCGGCUCAACCGGGGAGGGUCAUUGGAAACUGGGGAACUUGAGUGCAGAAGAGGAGAGUGGAAUUCCACGUGUAGCGGUGAAAUGCGUAGAGAUGUGGAGGAACACCAGUGGCGAAGGCGACUCUCUGGUCUGUAACUGACGCUGAGGAGCGAAAGCGUGGGGAGCGAACAGGAUUAGAUACCCUGGUAGUCCACGCCGUAAACGAUGAGUGCUAAGUGUUAGGGGGUUUCCGCCCCUUAGUGCUGCAGCUAACGCAUUAAGCACUCCGCCUGGGGAGUACGGUCGCAAGACUGAAACUCAAAGGAAUUGACGGGGGCCCGCACAAGCGGUGGAGCAUGUGGUUUAAUUCGAAGCAACGCGAAGAACCUUACCAGGUCUUGACAUCCUCUGACAAUCCUAGAGAUAGGACGUCCCCUUCGGGGGCAGAGUGACAGGUGGUGCAUGGUUGUCGUCAGCUCGUGUCGUGAGAUGUUGGGUUAAGUCCCGCAACGAGCGCAACCCUUGAUCUUAGUUGCCAGCAUUCAGUUGGGCACUCUAAGUGACUGCCGGUGACAAACCGGAGGAAGGUGGGGAUGACGUCAAAUCAUCAUGCCCCUUAUGACCUGGGCUACACACGUGCUACAAUGGACAGAACAAAGGGCAGCGAAACCGCGAGGUUAAGCCAAUCCCACAAAUCUGUUCUCAGUUCGGGAUCGCAGUCUGCAACUCGACUGCGUGAAGCUGGAAAUCGCUAGUAAUCGCGGAUCAGCAUGCCGCGGUGAAUAACGUUCCCGGGCCUGUACACACCGGCCCGUCACACACGAGAGUUUGUACACUCGAAGUCGUGAGUAACCUUUAGAGCCAGCCGCCGAAGUGGGACAGAAUGAUGGGGUGAAGUCCGUAACA
rnacentral:rRNA from 1 species